AUGGAGCCCCCGUCAGGCCCUGCAAGCAGGCGGCAUGUCCCCUGGAGCAGGCUCCUGCUGGCAGUCUCACUGUUAACUUUCUGGACCCCGCCCACCACUGCCCAGCUCACUAUUGAAACGGUGCCCCCGCUUGCUGCAGAAGGGUCGGAUGUUUUUCUGGUUGCCCACAACGUGUCAGAGAAUCCUCUAGGCUAUGCCUGGCACAGAGGAGAAAGGGGAGACAACACCCAGCUAAUUGCAUCAUAUAGGGUAGAUAAUGAUGCAACUACCAAUGGGCCUGCAUACAGCGGACGGGAGACACUUUACCCCAACGGAACCCUGCUGAUCCGGAACGUCACCCAGAGAGACACAGGAUCCUACACCCUGCUCGUUACAAAGAACGAUUUACAGACAGAAACACAGGCUGGACACCUUCACGUGCACCCGGUGCUACCCUCACCCGUCAUCACCAGCAACAACUCCAACCCCAGGGAGCACGAGGACACUGUGGUGUUAACAUGUGGAGCUGAGACCCAGAACACCUCCUACAUGUGGUGGAUCAACAGUCAGAGCCUCCCCAAGAGCACCAGGCUGGAACUGUCCGAGGACAAGAGGACUCUCACAGUAGUCACCGUGACAAGGAAUGACACAGGACCCUAUGUGUGUGAAGCCCGGAACCCAGUGAGUGUCAGCCGCAGUGACCCAUUCACCCUGGAUGUCCUCUGGCAAGAAAACAGCCGAGCCCUUGGUGUGGGGGCCAUUACUGGCAUCGUGAUUGGGGUCCUGCUUGUGCUGACGCCGCUGGCUGUCCUGGGGUAUUUCAUUUUCCUUCACAGGUACAGUGGUAUUCCCCCCGGCUGCCUGCACAACAGUGGGAACUGGCCCCCAGCAUCCACCUCAGGACGUGGUCCCUCUGGCAGCUCUGUCUCCCAGGUGAGUACAUCCCUUCUUGCCUCUUCUCCCCAGGGUCCCCGCUUCACAGGCUCAGGGCAGGGGGCCUGUCCAACCCUGACGCACUGUGCUGACCCCUUUCACUCGAGGGUAGUUGAAAGUCGCUCAGUCGUGUCCAGCCUUUGUGACCCCAUGGACUGUAGACCGCCAGGCUCCUCUGUCCAUGGAUUUCUCCAGGCAAGAAUUCUGGAAUGGGUAACCAUUGCCUUCUCCAAGGGAUCUCCCUGA
rnacentral:lncRNA from 1 species